rnacentral:rRNA from 1 species
UACAGAGGGUGCAAGCGUUGUUCGGAAUUAUUGGGCGUAAAGCGCGUGUAGGCGGCUUUGCAAGUCGGGUGUGAAAGCCCUCGGCUCAACCGAGGAAGUGCGCCCGAAACUGCAGAGCUUGAGUACCGGAGAGGAUGGCGGAAUUCCCCAAGUAGAGGUGAAAUUCGUAGAUAUGGGGAGGAACACCGGUGGCGAAGGCGGCAUCCUGGACCAACACUGACGCUGAGGAGCGAAAGCCAGGGGAGCAAACGGG